AUGGACGGACUUUCCAACGACAAAGAGGAACACGAUCUGCCGAACACCCUUCACGCCGUCUUUGAUAACGGUUUUUAUCCCGAUCUCGUUCAUCAUCGACUAAUCUCAGACUCUUUAAUUGGCUACUAUAUCAGCGUCUUCUACUUCCGACGCUUCAUUAGAAACGAAGGGGUUGGGCCUACUGUUAUCAGAUGGGGCCAAAGCUUGGAUGUUCCACCAUGUUAA